UGGGGAAUAUUGCACAAUGGGCGCAAGCCUGAUGCAGCCAUGCCGCGUGUAUGAAGAAGGCCUUCGGGUUGUAAAGUACUUUCAGCGAGGAGGAAGGCGUUGUGGUUAAUAACCGCAGCGAUCGACGUUACUCGCAGAAGAAGCACCGGCUAACUCCGUGCCAGCAGCCGCGGUAAUACGGAGGGUGCAAGCGUUAAUCGGAAUUACUGGGCGUAAAGCGCACGCAGGCGGUCUGUCAAGUCGGAUGUGAAAUCCCCGGGCUCAACCUGGGAACUGCAUCCGAAACUGGCAGGCUAGAGUCUUGUAGAGGGGGGUAGAAUUCCAGGUGUAGCGGUGAAAUGCGUAGAGAUCUGGAGGAAUACCGGUGGCGAAGGCGGCCCCCUGGACAAAGACUGACGCUCAGGUGCGAAAGCGUGGGGAGCAAACA
rnacentral:rRNA from 1 species